rnacentral:rRNA from 1 species
UACAGAGGGUGCAAGCGUUAAUCGGAAUUACUGGGCGUAAAGCGUGCGUAGUCGGUUAUCUAAGUCAGGUGUGAAAUCCCCGGGCUCAACCUGGGAAUUGCAUUUGAUACUGGAUAGCUAGAGUUCGGCAGAGGGAUGUGGAAUUCCAGGUGUAGCGGUGAAAUGCGUAGAUAUCUGGAGGAACACCGGUGGCGAAGGCGGCAUCCUGGACCGGUAUUGACGCUGAGGCGCGAAAGCUAGGGGAGCAAACGGG